GGCCCGCCGCGGCAAGGUGCCGUUGUUUCGGAGCAGCAGGAUGGGGCCGCUCACGGGCUCGGCCGCCUGCCUGCGCCGCGGCGGCUGGUACUCGGAGCCGAGGCUGAGCAGGCUGUACACCUGCCCGUUGUUCUCCCACUGAAUCCGCUGCUUCCAGACGGCGGGGGGCAGCGGCGGGGGGUCGCGGCGCGGCGGCGGCGGCGGCUGGCAGCCGGCGGGCCACAGGCAGCUCCAGUAGAUGCACGCGUGGAGCUGGGCGAGCAGGAGCCCCGCGGGCGCGAAAUGCAUCUUCUUCUUCUUCCUAGGUUUUGUCUGGAACAGUGACUAAGACUGAAGAAGAUGAAAUGCUUAAAAAUGAGGAAAAUACAAUGCUGAAGAAAUGAGUCAACAGAAUCAAGCAGCUACUAACUGAAGACCAGUCUUUGAGAGUAAGCACAGAAACUGUCAUGCAAUACAGUGCUACUGGACUGAUAAAAACACUAAUGAGUGUCAACUAACAGCAGAGAGCCACCUAUUCUCCAGCAUCAUUUUCUAGACCAGGAAGUUUGGUUGUCUAAGCACUUAGAUACAGUCUGACCCCUUCUUCUCAUGAAGUCAUCAAGCAGUUU